GGCCGUGCAGUUUCUUUGUGUGAAGAGUGUAAAAGUGUUUGAGAAGUGGGGGGGGGGUCCUGUCCUGUCCUGUCCUGCCAUGGCCCCCAGCGGACUCGUGGACCCUGGAUUCCUGCGCUCCUCGGAGGGCUCGCUGAGCGUCGCGCAGACGGUGGCGCUGCUGAUCGCCUUCCUCUGUGUGCACUGCUCCUCCUGGUGGACGGACUUCUCUGCAUUCCGCUACUUCCAGGUGGUCACGCUGUGGUUCCUCGUAACGUUCCUCAUCUUCCUCUUCAUGCACAUCUUCAGGCUCCAGAGCAAGAUGCCGUGUAUCAACUGGGCGCUCACGGAGUUCCUGCACUACGCCGUGGGGAUGUUGCUCAUCUUCAUCGCCUCUCUUGUGGCAGCGGUGAAGUCUAGAGGCAUCUUCGCGCUCAUAGCCGGAUCGGUGUUCGGUUUCAUCGCCACCGUCCUGCUCGCCAUCAGCGUGUGCCGCUCCUACAGGGUCGCCUGCGGCUCCCAGCCAACCAGUGAGAGACGCGUCCGUUCACCUCCAGCUUUUUGUUUGGACCCCCGCUGUUGUGUGUGUUCUGGCAGGAACUGCAACCAAACUGCCUUCCUUCUGCACUGGAGGUUUAACUUGGUGGCAGCAGAGACAGGCUGAGCCUGAACUCCAUCGGGGUCCCAGACUGAUGUAGUGUCUCCGUAUUAAUAAUAAGUGUGUUGCGCUAGUCUGAGAUUUAGGUCCCUCGCUGUUGUAGCGAGGGAACAGCUGGUCGCCGGUUUGGGCAUCUCUGGUGUGAAUCGCGGUUAGCAGUCGGAGAAACACCUGUAUGAGGUGCGAACGGGGCAGUAGGACAGUGCGUGUAUCAGGUGAGUGACCCGGACUGAUGGCUGCUCACCACUGGUCACCAGCCUUCUCUUUGACCUCUCCUGAGGGGUCCCAGUGUCCAGUAUUCAGUGUCCGGUGAAAAAGUCCCGCGUUUUCUCUAUGGUUUAAGGCAUUCGGUUUAUUUUCAUUUUGCCAUUUCACAGAGGUGUACAGCGCAAAUAAAGUUUCUCUGUGCGGCUUCAGGUGGCACACGGUAAACAUGGGUCACACGUAUGAAUACAAAUGCAGACAUGACAAUGAUAUGGACAAGGGGACGUCCAGCCACCGAUCUCUGAGGGUAGCGGUAAAUGCAGCAUAGUGUGAGGCCCUCAGGACAAGGUGCAGAUGCCGUGGUGCUGCCAUCUCAUAGGGACACAGCGGUCCUGCUGCCCUCCAUGUUUGAAGACGUGAGACGCGUUCAGAGCACCGUUGUCCCCAAGUGCCACAUGGAGAGCAGGAUCUGUGCCAAGUGUCCUUCCGCUUACUGGGAUGGACACUGAUGUCCUGCAGGUCUGCCAGUUUACAUACUGGGACCGUAUAGGUGUGUUUGACGUUCCCUGUCCAGUCCCAGUGCGCGUGUUCUUUCAGAAAAGGACAAUGUAUUAUGGAGCUUCUGCAGGAAAGAAUCGCUGCUUCCAUUUGUAUCUUUUGCUGAUGUCUUAAGCUUUAAUUUUUACACGAAUACACAAACACUAAUGGAAUUGUGAAGAAUUGCGGUUUUGCUCUAAUGGCUUUUCUUUGCUUGCGGAAAUUUCGAACACGACGAAGGAAGCGCAACGGCCCGUUUUUAGCGACAGCAACUUCACUUACGAUCAAGUGACUUUUUCUGGAAAUACGGAUGUUUUCAGCCCCUGAACGUAUUCCGAUUUCCUCUUUAUAACGGUUAUCCUCAUUAUAAAGAAUAAUAAUGUGAGCGAAUAAAAUUAAUUUGCUCUGUCCACAUGCAGGGCAGAACCAGA